rnacentral:tRNA from 1 species
UGUGACUUAGUUUAGAAAAAAAAAUAUUUGUUUUUGGAGCAAAAGAGUUUAGUUACAU